GAUUCCGCAACCUUGUAUCUCAAGCCUACAACAGUAUACGAACUCUCUUCUUACAAUUUUCAUUUUUUAAAAGGUAAGUUUCAAAGAAUUUUGACCUAAUCAUGCAAAACCAAGAAAGAAGAAGAAGACACCUACCUGUUUUUUUUGGCUUUCUUCCUCAUUGGAUUUUGAGAUCGAAUUUCCAAUUAAAAAUUAGCUUAUGAAAUUUAUAUAUUUUAUGAAAGACGUCAUUUUAAAGUUG
rnacentral:precursor_RNA from 1 species